UACAGAGGUCCCAAGCGUUGUUCGGAUUCACUGGGCGUAAAGGGUGCGUAGGUGGUGGGGUAAGUCGGAUGUGAAAGCUCGGAGCUCAACUCCGAAAUGGCAUUGGAAACUACCCUGCUAGAGGAUUGGAGGGGGGACUGGAAUACUUGGUGUAGCAGUGAAAUGCGUAGAUAUCUGAAGGAACAUCAGUGGCGAAAGCGACUUCCUGGACCAAUACUGACGCUCAUGUGCGAAAGCGUGGGGAGCAAACAGG
rnacentral:rRNA from 1 species